rnacentral:rRNA from 1 species
UAGGGAAUCUUCCACAAUGGACGAAAGUCUGAUGGAGCAACGCCGCGUGAGUGAUGAAGGGUUUCGGCUCGUAAAACUCUGUUGUUGGAGAAGAACAGGUGAUAGAGUAACUGUUAUCAUCUUGACGGUAUCCAACCAGAAAGCCACGGCUAACUACGUGCCAGCAGCCGCGGUAAUACGUAGGUGGCAAGCGUUGUCCGGAUUUAUUGGGCGUAAAAGCGAGCGCAGGCGGUUUUUUAGGUCUGAGUGAAAAGCCUUCGGCUUAACCGGAGAA